rnacentral:misc_RNA from 1 species
UGGUUCUGGCAUNGAUGAAGAACGCAGCGAAAUGCGAUAAGUAAUGUGAAUUGCAGAAUUCAGUGAAUCAUCGAAUCUUUGAACGCACAUUGCGCCCUUUGGUAUUCCGAAGGGCAUACCUGUUCGAGCGUCAUUACAUCCCUCAAAUUUAACGAUUUGAUGUUGGGCAGUGCCUUAGGGCAUGCCUUAAAGUCAGUGACGGUUGCAAGUCCGACUUAGGCGUACAAGUAUCGCGAUAGGGACGAUUUGGCCUGUCUUUUCAAAUUCCAAAUGUUGACCUCGGAUCAGGUAGGGAUACCCGCUGA